rnacentral:rRNA from 1 species
GAUGAACGCUGGCGGCGUGCUUAACACAUGCAAGUCGAACGAAGCACUUUAACCUGAUUCUUCGGAUGAAGGUUUUUGUGACUGAGUGGCGGACGGGUGAGUAACGCGUGGGUAACCUGCCCCAUACAGGGGGAUAACAGUUAGAAAUGACUGCUAAUACCGCAUAAGACCACAGAGCCGCAUGGCUCGGUGGGAAAAACUCCGGUGGUAUGAGAUGGACCCGCGUCUGAUUAGGUAGUUGGUGGGGUAACGGCCUACCAAGCCAACGAUCAGUAGCCGACCUGAGAGGGUGACCGGCCACAUUGGGACUGAGACACGGCCCAAACUCCUACGGGAGGCAGCAGUGGGGAAUAUUGCACAAUGGGGGAAACCCUGAUGCAGCGACGCCGCGUGAGCGAAGAAGUAUUUCGGUAUGUAAAGCUCUAUCAGCAGGGAAGAAAAUGACGGUACCUGACUAAGAAGCACCGGCUAAAUACGUG